ensembl:lncRNA
UACAUAAGAAUGUCCGUUUUCAAAAAUCCUUCAUUUUUACUUUGAAUUCGAAACUGUGUUAGAGUGAAAAGCAUGAAAACAUGAAUCAAAAGGCAAGAAGCCUAAAAGGAGAUGUAGAUGUCUAUGAACGUGAUGCACUAUCUGAAAGACUAGAGAUCAUAAAGUGACCUCAUGAAUUUGAGAAACUUGGUGAUUUUUGAGUACCCUGGAUUUAAAGACAACAUGCCAAGGCAGAGAAAUGUGACUUCUAAUCUUUUGAAUCCACUUCUGAUGACUUUCCUUCAGUCUGCUUAAAAUUAACACUAAAACAUGCUGUCCCCCACACCGAGGGUUUCAGAGACCAGACACUCAGGUCCACCUUGUGAAAAUGUUCUAGUCCCAAAUUAAUAGUUAUGUUUUGUCUUCAUUCUUUAUUGUUUUUAGGACCUCUAGUGGCAGAAAAAAAGGCAUUUGCAGAGAAGGUCAUCUGGAAAGGUCUUAACACGAAAGCAAGUAUGGCCAGUAUGGCCAUGAACUCCAGCUAGUAAGAAGUGAAUGUGAAAAUGCCAUUUAAUUAAAACUCUGGAUUUUCUCCAGGAAUAAUUACCUCGUCUUCUUUCUCUUUAUAUACAGCAUACUGCAAAAAUAAUAAACUGAAACAGACCUCUCCACUAGUGAAGGGAAUUAUGCUUUUGUGCUAACCAAGGAACAUCAUGGUACACUGAUUUUAAAAAAAGCUCCACUUCCUCCCCUCCAGCACCCCAAAAAACAUCCUACUAUUCAUCUGUGCAAAAAUGUCCAAAUCCAGGGCUCCUACUGCCUAACUCAAUGAAAGACUGAAGUCUGCUAGGAAAAUGUCCAAGACAUAUAAAAUACAUUCAAAGCUACUGGUGACUGUUAUUGCAUGCCUGUCAGUAAUCUUUUUAGCAAACAGCUACUCUCAAUUAUUGAUAUUUCAUUACGAGGUUUCAAGGUGACUCUGGAUGACAGGUAAAACCACACAUUUUCUGCUUUUCAGUAGGAAGACUGAUUAACACUGGAAAUGUACAGCAUACUAUGAAAAUCUGUUCCUCCAGGUAACUCCAUUUUGACUCUUGACAACAAAAAAAUGUUGGGUUUUGUCUGCACCCCUUUGCCAGAUCAUUGCAGCUGUGCCAGUACUGUUAAAAACCCCUUACCUUUGUGGAUCUAGGAUUUGUCUCUCUAAACAGAAGACAAUAUUAAGCUUCAAAAAGGGCAAGAACAAUUUAUACCUGCUCCUACACUAAGUCUCAUCAGUGCAACUCUAUUAUUAAAAAUGUUUAAAACGUAUCUGCAAAAUAAAUAGCAAAAUUAAUAAACCCUCUACAUGUGGAAAAACUGUACAGCCAUCCAGAACACAGGAGAGCCAUAUCCUUUUUUUUUUUUUUUUCUUGGUUUUGGCAAUAAAAAUACAGUCCUAAUGGAGAACACAGGAGAGCAAGUACCAGCAGAAUUGACAAGAUGGAGGAGGUAUAUCUCAGACAGUGAGAAUGUGCAGGUGGUUAUUUGUUCUACUGAGACCAGGAUUUCUCUUUUUCUGGCUGGACAUGUCAGAGAGAUGCACAAAUCUGUAACUGAGGUUUUGUCCCUGCCCUAUUUAAGAGACUCAUCUCAUUUACUAUGGACAGUCUUGGAAAUGUCAUUUCUUGGCAGUCAUGAGCAAUGAAUUACAAUAUGCUACAUCUGGGGGGAAAUGCUGGAAAGAAUCUGCACAGUAAAGAUUUGGAAAGUGCAAGAAUUAAAAAGUAAACAGUAUUCCAUAUUGAUAAAACACAUUUGAGAAGUUUAAAAUAAGACAGCUGAGUAGGAAAGCAGACUAAUAAACCUGAGUAGUUUCAGAUUUACUGAAAAGGGUAUUUCAGGUGUGGAUGUAGCUCCAAGUAUUGAUACAGCUCCUUAAAUCUCACCGAGGUGUUUUGCUCCCGAGUUAGUGUUGGGCAACUGCUCAGGAACAUCAAGAACAUGUGUAACACAGCAGGGGAGUGUUCAAGUACAUCCAGUGGUGGGGAUCACAGCCUGAUCUCAUGAAGCAAGGUCACCUUAUUGUGACAGAGGUUAAUUCUAAUCAGGUAUCUUACAUCUGAAGGGUAUUGUAAUAGAGACUGAACAGCUGCUGAAUUAAUUAAAUGAAUAGAAAGAAUUCAACUGUAACGUAAAUAAUAAAAGAAAAUAUAGACUAAGAUUCAUUAUGCACUAACAUCCCCUGAAAAAUCUGGAGUAAUCAAAACUACUCAAGGUUGGUGUCAAGUGCCAGCCCAGGUGGCAAGAUAGUGUAAGGUGAGAAAUAGUGUGAGACUUCAUAUUGACUUCUUCAGAAUUAAAUUAAUAAUUUCAUAAAUACUGAAAUGCUUCAAUUGACACUCUGGGACCAAACUGAUUUUUAUUAAUAAAAAAUUGCUUCCCCUCUCUCCUACUGAUUUUUCAGUUCUGCGAGAUAAAAAAAUAAACAAAACAAGAACUGUAUCUGACCGAGAGCAGUCAUAGAAUGUGUCUUGAGGCAUUUCAAAUAUGGCUCUGGGGAAGACAAUGUCAUGCUCUUAGAAAUCAGAGUUUUGUCUGUGCUUCUGCCUCUCCCUGAGUCAUUAACAGCCUCAGAUGUGAACGACACUGAAAUGCACUUGCUCAGUCUGGUUUUUUGGCUGACACAGUGAAGCAGCAAUCAGACUGAGGCUGAAACAUUUAUGAGAGUCAUGAAGGGCAGAAAACCCAGAAAUGCAUUAUUUACUGCACAUGUUCUUUAUUCUCUCUUCAUGGGUAAUUCAUUUGAAUUCUGCUCUUCUGUUGGGUGAAGUGGAUCUAAAGUAACAUCUCUGAAGCAGCCACUGUGUUACUCCAGAUUUACACAGCUGUGCUGGAUGGCAGGAUCUGCCUCAGAGCAUUUUAUAUUAGCUGUGUCUCAGAGGGUGUGCUAUGCCUAGGGCUCAGAAUAUUCCCAGCCAGCUUAAUUUUCACAAGCUGCCCUUGCAAGGCAAGCUGCAAAUGCAUUUACAGAUCUAGCACAAUAAUUUCUUACUCCUCAGGUUGGUUAACCUGUCAGAAAUGAAUCUGUUUCUUCGAACUUCUAUUUUUGCAGGUGCCUCUGCUAUAAAGGCCUCAGCUGUACAAAAAUGAACUAGACAAAAUGUGCAGACGCUUUAUUUGGCAUGGAAAGAACCCAAGGACACAGCCCUGCUAUGGUUGCAAAAAUUGAAAGGAAUAUAGGGAACUUGGCCUUCCUCAGUGGAAACUCGACAUUUGGGUGGCCUGGCUGCAGCCUGUGUGGGGCUGGCAGUCGCUGUCUCUGAAUGAAGAGGCUGACUUAACCUGGAUCUCUAUCAAAUCCUCCCUCUGCGAGACCGUGCAUUUGGCAGAGGUACUGACAGAAAUCCUCUGGCCGAGAAAGCACAAUCAAAUCCUGUUAGGCACAGUAUCUUGAGAAGGGGGUCAAUUCGUUUAAAACACUGAGACAUUUUAACUGUGGUUGUUUGGCAUUUACUAUGGUUGCUGAUUUAUUUGAAUUCUCCUUCAGUUACAAAAAUCCCAAACUUGAAAAAAAUAUCAAGAAAAAAGGAUCUAAGGAUCUGCAAGAAUCAGAGAGUUUUUUAGGGAGCAGAUUAAAUUCUUCCAGUGUACAUCUUUGAUACAUCACCCCUCACCUGUGUAUGCACAGGAGAUAAUCAAGCAGUCCUAACUACUGGGAAAUUUGUGAGGUUUACUGAGAAACAAAUUCUGAGGUUAGUGCCUGAACAAACAGCUGGGAUGGGAAGAAAAUGCUUCCUCUCGUAAGUAGGUGGAAGUGGGUCCUGAAUCAUUGCUUCCCCCCGGCUGCCCCACAUCCCUCAGUUCAGCAUGCAUAGAGGAAAUCCACAUAGGAAAAGCUUAGGUAUCAGCCCUGUCUGCUGCUCACCCAUGCUUCCACAGCAAAAUCCCACCUCUAGGUUGCUAAGCAGUUUGUGGUAGUGAUGUGGGGGCCACAGAAGCGUAUUUUGAUGCCAAAAGCAGGGUGCCAGUUUGGAGUGCCAUUACCUGCGCUCUUCUGGGCCUUAUGUCAAGGGAUAUUAAAAACACAAUCUUCAUUCCAGUUCAAAGCAGAGCUUGAACUUCAUAAACCAUCCCUGGCAGGGACCAUGUUUCCCUGCUUGCCAUGUCCUUUUCACAGUCCUGUGAGGCAUUGCAUUUGCCUGUCACUGUCCCACGGUGCACCAUCUCUGGGUUUGGGAAUUUUGCUGUUUGUCUCAAGAAAUGUAUUAAGUUCCCAACUCCGCAGCUUUUACUUGCCCAAGGAAAGCUCAUAGGCUCUGACCUCAGGCUGUUUGCAAAGCCUGUCAAAACUCAUUUGUCUAGGAGAUUGCAGAAGCAAAUAUCACAGUAAAGGCUAAAAGGCAAUUCUAUGCCAAGCUCAUUCUAGGUCACUAACUUCCUAAGGGUAUUCUUCCAAGAAAUAGCUUCAUUUUGAGUAGUUCUGCAAGAGGAGAGAGACUGUGAGUUAUAGUUAACCCCUUCGUCCUAAGAAAAAGCAAGAAUCCUUCAGUCUAUCACAUUUAUCAUUCAACAUUUAUUCAGGCUAAGACUUCCCCCCUUAGAGCCAAUACUAGCAAAUGAAGUUACAAGGAAAUAGUAGAUUUGAAUGAAAUAUUCUUUGCCCUUUCAAAAAGCACACUAUUUUAAAUGUGGAUCUUGGGCAGCAUCCUCACUUCUUUUAGGAAAGUAAAUACAAUGUAUUCAAAACAAAAAGAAAUCUCACAUUGAAAAACUACAUCAACUCAAAUAAAAGGCUUAACCGCCCAGAAAACUCAGAUACCCCUCAGGAAAGCCACUGGAGCAAAGACAAAGAAAUACAGGAGGCACACAGAUGCAGUUUUGAAGGAAGAGACAAAGUCGUGUAAGAACUACAAUAGAGCUAAAUAAAAUGAACAUGCAAGGGAAGUAACACAUGACAAAAUUAAACAAAUAAAGCCAGCUAAACGAUGGGAGGUGUGGAGAUAAAGCAGACUUGGACAGUCCUACCAAAGUGCAUAGAGCUUGCACACCUUCAUCGGCUGCUGUUAGGAGGUUGUGAGAGGGACUAGCAAAAAAACUACCUGAAUCCAUGGUACCUUAGAUUACCUCAUCUUCUAAAAACCACCUAGGCCACGAGCAAGAGACAGGAGGAGAAAGACAAGGUUAUUCUAAGGCUUAGAUUCUAAAAAGUUAUUUCCUUAAUUAAACAUAAGGUCUAAGAGAAUGUCAGCCCAGUGCUCAUCAAGUGUCAAAAAACAUUAGGAAUGUUAGGAAUUUUUGGAAAAUAGAGAGCAAUAGAAAACAAAUACUGCUAUGCAAAUGUAUGCACAAUGCACCUGUGUCUAAAAUUGUGCUUAUUUCCCUUUCAAAAAUGGUGCAGAAAAAUAAGAAAAAAAAAA